rnacentral:misc_RNA from 1 species
GUAUUUUCUUAUGAAGGUUGACAUUCAAGACAUGCGGUUGAGUGUGAAGACGAGAGGAGAGGGCGGCACGGAGCCCCCCUCGCCAACCGAAAGGUGCACAGGUGUGGAUGGCGGAGCCGGCGUGCAGCCCGAGGGCGCACAGCCGGCAGAGCCGUGAGGACGGGAACAAACCCGAUUCACUAAUGAUCCUUCCGCAGGUUCACCUACGGAAA